UGCCCGCAGCUUUACUGGUUAUCAGUUGUUUCUACUUGAAAGCUGUUCAACAACUUCAAGUCACUGACUUUACCUAUUCCAUAAUAACUGUUUGAUUUUAAUUAUUUUGUGAAUCUACAGAUUUUUAAUAGUGAAAAUGAGGAUCUGUCAAUUCUUGACCAGUCGUUCAACAUUGUCAUCAAUUCGGCAGUUGAGUACCGGUAAUGCAAAAGGAUCAGAUGUUGUUAUUGUUUCUGCUUUACGGACUCCAAUCGGUUCAUUUAGAGGUUCAUUAUCGCAAUUGAGUGCUGCCCAAAUGGCAACUCAAGUUAUUAAAGCCCUAAUCAGCCAAUCAAAAAUCAAACCAGAUCAAAUUGAUGAAAUAAUUAUGGGUCACAUUUUAACACAUGGAGGAGGACAACAUCCUACUCGGCAAGCUGUAAUUAACUCAGGCCUUCCAUCAUCCACUGUUACAUCUACAGUUAACAAAUUAUGUGCCUCUGGAAUGAAGUCAAUUAUGCUUGCAUCUGGUUUAUUGUCUCUUAAACAGGCAAAUAUCAUGAUUGCUGGGGGCAUGGAGAGUAUGUCAAAUGUCCCUUUCAUAUUGAAAAGAGGUGAUGCCAAUUAUGGACACACUCAACUGUAUGAUGCUCUUUUAUCUGAUGGAUUAAUUGAUGCAUUCCAUCAAAUUCAUAUGGGUAAUUGUGGUGAAAAUACUGCCAAAAAGUAUGGUAUAACUCGAGAGGAUCAAGAUAAAUUUGCAAUUGGAAGUUAUGAGAAGAGUGCUGCUGCAGCUAAAGCUGGUUUAUUUGACAAAGAAAAGAUCUCUGUCACUGUUCCUGACAAAAAAGCCGGAACCAAAACAGUCAGUGAAGAUGAAGAAUAUCUUAAAGUAGAUUUCAGUAAAAUCAGUAGCUUGAGAAGUGUCUUCCAAAAAGACGGAACCAUUACAGCUGCUAAUGCCUCGAAAUUAAACGAUGGUGCGGCUGCUUGUAUCCUGAUGAGGGCUGAAACAGCUCAAGAACACGGUUUGAAUCCAUUAGUCAAAGUUGUUGACUACGCUGAUAAUGAGUUAGACCCAAUUGAUUUCCCUGAAGCUCCAGUUGGUGCCAUUAAGAAAUUGUUAGCUCGCAAUGGCAUCAAUAAAGACGACGUCAAAAUGUGGGAAAUUAACGAAGCAUUCAGUGUUGUUCCUCUGGUCCAUGUUAAACUGCUCGAUCUAGAUCCUAGUAAAGUUAAUAUACAUGGUGGUGCCGUAGCCUUAGGUCAUCCUGUUGCUGCUUCUGGAACCAGGAUUGUCGCUCAUUUAGCUCACACUUUGAAAUCCGGUGAAUAUGGUAUUGCUGCUAUCUGUAACGGAGGUGGUGGAUCUUCAGCUAUGCUUGUUCAAGCUCUUUAAAUGAGUCUUCCUAUUCCAAAUUACUAGUUUAUUGACUAUUUAAUUGUGAAUUCAUUCAUUUCCACAGAGAACACAUUCAAUCUAUUUUACACUACUAUUACUCGAAGGUUUCUUAACUUUAAAAAGUGUAUAAAUUUGACUUUUAGUCUAUUACUAAUUUUCUAUUAUAAACCAUGAAAAUUAUUUGCCAAACUAUUGAUUUGUUAACAAUAAAACUAUUAUAUUGAUAGAAUUCAUUGAUGUUUUUUUUGUAAAAUUACUACGAGUGAACAUUAAUAAAGCAUUCAAU